rnacentral:rRNA from 1 species
AACGAACGCUGGCGGCAGGCCUAACACAUGCAAGUCGAGCGAGGACUUCGGUUCUAGCGGCGGACGGGUGGGUAACGCGGGGGAAUGUGCCCUUCUCUACGGAAUAGCCCUGGGAAACUGGGAGUAAUACCGUAUACGCCCUUUUGGGGAAAGAUCUAUCGGAGCAGGAUCAGCCCGCGUUGGAUUAGGUAGUUGGUGGGGUAAUGGCCUACCAAGCCGACGAUCCAUAGCUGGUUGGAGAGGAUGAUCAGCCACACUGGGACUGAGACACGGCCCAGACUCCUACGGGAGGCAGCAGUGGGGAAUCUUAGACAAUGGGGGCAACCCUGAUCUAGCCAUGCCGCGUGAGUGAUGAAGGCCGUAGGGUUGUAAAGCUCUUUCAGCUGGGAAGAUAAUGACGGUACCAGCAGAAGAAGCCCCGGCUAACUCCGUG